GAUGAACGCUAGCGAUAGGCUUAACACAUGCAAGUCGAGGGGCAGCGCGGGUAGCAAUACCUGUCGGCGACCGGCGCACGGGUGAGUAACGCGUAUGUAACCUGCCCGCAACAGGGGGAUAACCCGGCGAAAGUCGGACUAAUACCGCAUAAAACAGGGGUCCCGCAUGGGAAUAUUUGUUAAAGAUUUAUCGGUUGCGGAUGGGCAUGCGUACCAUUAGGUAGUUGGUGAGGUAACGGCUCACCAAGCCUUCGAUGGUUAGGGGUUCUGAGAGGAAGGUCCCCCACACUGGUACUGAGACACGGACCAGACUCCUACGGGAGGCAGCAGUGAGGAAUAGUGGUCAAUGGGCGAGAGCCUGAACCAGCCAAGUCGCGUGAAGGAUGACUGCCCUAUGGGUUGUAAACUUCUUUUACAAGGGAAUAAAAUGAGAUACGUGUAUUUUAUUGCAUGUACCUUGGGAAUAAGCAUCGGCUAACUCCGUG
rnacentral:rRNA from 1 species